GAUCUAAAGCAAAAUUGGCCUUUGGGGUGGACGACAAUUAAAAAAAUGAAUUGUUACAAAAAUGAGUCUAUAUUGGAGAACGUCCUCUCCCCAAAAUAGAGAAGACGUUAACCGCAGGUGUUCUCACGGUGUUAGCCAGACAGAGUGUGCUGCCUAAAUUAGCACUCGUACAAGGAGAAAUAAAUAUGGCGGAGGAGUUCCAAGUCCAGUGGUACACGACUUGGAAGAGGUGGGAGAUCAGGAGGACUGGUCCAAGAUCAUGAAGAGAGAAUCCAGUAGUUGAGAAGAGAACUUGAGGUCCAGUGGUACACGACUUGGAAGAGGUGGGAGAUCAGGAGGACUGGUCCAAGAUCAUGAAGAGAGAAUCCAGUAGUUGAGAAGAGAACUUGAGAGCAUGCAUGCUGGUGUUGCCAGACAGUGCUGGAUACAUUGUGACCAGUGUGACAAAAAUCCUGCCCUUGCACCGGAUAUGAA
rnacentral:lncRNA from 1 species